rnacentral:rRNA from 1 species
UAACGCGUGGAGAACCUGCCGUAUACUGGGGGAUAACACUUAGAAAUAGGUGCUAAUACCGCAUAAGCGCACAGCUUCGCAUGAAGCAGUGUGGAAAACAAAAAGCUAAAGCUUUUGGUGGUAUACGAUGGAUCCGCGUCUGAUUAGCUGGUUGGCGGGGUAAAGGCCCACCAAGGCGACGAUCAGUAGCCGGCCUGAGAGGGUGAACGGCCACAUUGGGACUGAGACACGGCCCAAACUCCUACGGGAGGCAGCAG